rnacentral:rRNA from 1 species
AACGAACGCUGGCGGCAUGCCUAACACAUGCAAGUCGAGCGAGAAAGCCUUCGGGUGAGUACGGCGGCGGACGGGUGAGUAACGCGUAGGAAUCUACCUGGUAGUGGGGGACGACAUGGGGAAACCCAUGCUAAUACCGCAUACGCCCUAUGGGGGAAAGCGGGGGACCUUCGGGCCUCGCGCUAUCAGAUGAGCCUGCGUAGGAUUAGCUUGUUGGUGAGGUAAAGGCUCACCAAGGCGACGAUCCUUAGCUGGUCUGAGAGGAUGAUCAGCCACACUGGAACUGAGACACGGUCCAGACUCCUACGGGAGGCAGCAGUGGGGAAUAUUGCGCAAUGGGCGAAAGCCUGACGCAGCCAUGCCGCGUGUGUGAAGAAGGCCUCGGUUGUAAG